rnacentral:rRNA from 1 species
GUUUCCCUACGGGAGGCAGCAGUGGGGGAUAUUGCACAAUGGGGGGAACCCUGAUGCAGCGACGCCGCGUGGGUGAAGAAGCGCCUCGGCGCGUAAAGCCCUCUCGGCAGGGAAGAAGAUGACGGUACCUGACCAAGAAGCCCCGGCUAACUACGUGCCAGCAGCCGCGGUAAUACGUAGGGGGCAAGCGUUAUCCGGAUUUACUGGGUGUAAAGGGGGCGCAGACGGCAAUGCAAGCCAGGAGUGAAAGCCCG